rnacentral:rRNA from 1 species
CAGUCGCCACGGUAAAACGUAGGUGGCAAGCGCUGUCCGGAAUUAUUGGGCGUAAAGGGCCCGCAGGCGGUUUCUUAAGUCUGAUGUGAAAGCCCCCGGCUCAACCGGGGAGGGUCAUUGGAAACUGGGAAACUUGAGUGCAGAAGAGGAGAGUGGAAUUCCACGUGUAGCGGUGAAAUGCGUAGAGAUGUGGAGGAACACCAGUGGCGAAGGCGACUCUCUGGUCUGUAACUGACGCUGAGGAGCGAAAGCGUGGGGAGCGAACAGGAUUAGAUACCCCCGUAGUCCCUGUCUCUUAUAC